AACUUUCAACAACGGAUCUCUUGGUUCUCGCAUCGAUGAAGAACGCAGCGAAAUGCGAUAAGUAAUGUGAAUUGCAGAAUUCAGUGAAUCAUCGAAUCUUUGAACGCACAUUGCGCCCCUUGGUAUUCCGAGGGGCAUGCCUGUUCGAGCGUCAUUACACCACUCAAGCACUGCUUGGUAUUGGGCAUCGUCCGUCGAAAGACGGG
rnacentral:rRNA from 2 species